rnacentral:rRNA from 1 species
GUCUACAGCCAUGCCACCCUGAAUAAGCCCAAUCCCAUCUGAUCUUGUAAGAUAAGCAAGGUCAGGCCUGGUUAGUACUUGGAUGGAAGACCACCUAGGAAGACCAGGUGCUGUAGGUG